UACGUAGGGAGCAAGCGUUGUUCGGAUUUACUGGGCGUAAAGGGCGCGUAGGCGGCACAUUAAGUCAGCUGUGAAAUCUCCGAGCCUAACUCGGAACGGUCAGCUGAUACUGAUCUGCUAGAGUGCGGAAGGGGCAAUCGGAAUUCUUGGUGUAGCGGUGAAAUGCGUAGAUAUCAAGAGGAACACCUGAGGUGAAGACGGGUUGCUGGGCCGACACUGACGCUGAGUGCGCGAAAGCCAGGGGAGCAAACGGG
rnacentral:rRNA from 1 species